AUUGAACGCUAGCGGGAUGCUUUACACAUGCAAGUCGAACGGCAGCGCGGACUUCGGUCUGGCGGCGAGUGGCGAACGGGUGAGUAAUGUAUCGGAACGUGCCCAGUAGCGGGGGAUAACUACGCGAAAGCGUAGCUAAUACCGCAUACGCCCUACGGGGGAAAGCAGGGGAUCGUAAGACCUUGCACUAUUGGAGCGGCCGAUAUCGGAUUAGCUAGUUGGUGAGGUAACGGCUCACCAAGGCGACGAUCCGUAGCUGGUUUUAGAGGACGACCAGCCACACUGGGACUGAGACACGGCCCAGACUCCUACGGGAGGCAGCAGUGGGGAAUUUUGGACAAUGGGGGCAACCCUGAUCCAGCCAUCCCGCGUGUGCGAUGAAGGCCUUCGGGUUGUAAAGCACUUUUGGCAGGAAAGAAACGUCGCGGGCUAAUACCCCGUGGAACUGACGGUACCUGCAGAAUAAGCACCGGCUAACUACGUG
rnacentral:rRNA from 1 species